AUGAACGCUGGCGGCGUGCCUAAUCCAUGCCAGUCGAGCGAACGGACGAGAAGCUUGCUUCUCUGAUGUUAGCGGCGGACGGGUGAGUAACACGUGGAUAACCUACCUAUAAGACUGGGAUAACUUCGGGAAACCGGAGCUAAUACCGGAUAAUAUUUUGAACCGCAUGGUUCAAAAGUGGAAGACGGUCUUGCUGUCACUUAUAGAUGGAUCCGCGCUGCAUUAGCUAGUUGGUAAGGUAACGGCUUACCAAGGCAACGAUGCAUAGCCGACCUGAGAGGGUGAUCGGCCACACUGGAACUGAGACACGGUCCAGACUCCUACGGGAGGCAGCAGUAGGGAAUCUUCCGCAAUGGGCGAAAGCCUGACGGAGCAACGCCGCGUGAGUGAUGAAGGUCUUCGGAUCGUAAAACUCUGUUAUUAGGGAAGAACAUAUGUGUAAGUAACUGUGCACAUCUUGACGGUACCUAAUCAGAAAGCCACGGCUAACUACGUG
rnacentral:rRNA from 1 species